CAGUAGCCGCGGGAAUACGGAGGGUGCAAGCGUUAAUCGGAAUUACUGGGCGUAAAGCGCACGCAGGCGGUCUGUUAAGUCAGAUGUGAAAUCCCCGGGCUUAACCUGGGAACUGCAUUUGAAACUGGCAGGCUUGAGUCUUGUAGAGGGGGGUAGAAUUCCAGGUGUAGCGGUGAAAUGCGUAGAGAUCUGGAGGAAUACCGGUGGCGAAGGCGGCCCCCUGGACAAAGACUGACGCUCAGGUGCGAAAGCGUGGGGAGCAAACAGGAUUAGAUACCCCUGUAGUCCCUGUCUCUUAUAC
rnacentral:rRNA from 1 species